rnacentral:rRNA from 1 species
UGCCAGCCGCCGCGGUAAUACGGAGGGGGCUAGCGUUGUUCGGAAUUACUGGGCGUAAAGCGCGCGUAGGCGGAUUGUUAAGUCGGGGGUGAAAUCCCGGGGCUCAACCCCGGAACUGCCUUCAAUACUACUAGUCUUGAGUUCGAGAGAGGGUGGUGGAAUUCCCAGUGUAGAGGUGAAAUUCGUAGAUAUUGGGAAGAACACCAGUGGCGAAGGCGGCUCACUGGCUCGAUACCGACGCUGAGGCACGAAAGCGUGGGGAGCGAACAGGAUUAGAUA